rnacentral:rRNA from 1 species
UUUUUACCUUUCUAAGGAUUAUUGUUAAAAUAAAAAUAUUUGGCGGCUAUUUAUAUUAAAGGGAUUUGCUUUUUAUCGAUUUACCYCGUUUAUUAUUAUUUAGUUUUUUUUUUGUAUACCGUCAUUUAGAUAAUUUUGGUAAAAUUAAUUAUGGUAGUAAUGUACAUUAUAUUAGAUCAAGGUGCAGAGAUAAUUAAUAGUAAGUUAAUGACAAUAAUUAGCAUUAAACAGGAUAAGAAUAAUAAUUUGAAUAGGAGGAUUUAAUUGUAAUGGAAAUUUUUUGAAAUUAUAUUUAUAGUGUACAAAUUGCCCGUCAUUCUC